AGCCCCUUCCCCCUUUCUAUCUCGUUCUUUUUCUUUUCAUCGGAGACGCUGUCCGUGAAUGUUUGGUCGUUUGGUUCAGUCUUGCAGGAAACUCCCUGACAUUUUCGGCUCAAAAUGCCUGGAUGAAGUCCAAGCUAUAGUCAUAGCAUUACUUGUACUUGAUAGCUGCCGUGGAAUUAAGGUUUUCAUGGACGGUUUGAUAAUUGACUUGUUUUGUUGUGGCUGUUUGGGGUGCAGUGGUUCUCCAGUAGAGAUGCGUUGAAAUGGAGCUUGUGCAGGCUUGAUGUUUAAUGAGUUUGUCCACCAGGGGGCAACUUUCUGUGUUAGCAACAUGACACUCGUUAGCUCAUGUCGCUUACGUCAUUUCUGUUGCGGGUGCUGUUAGUUACGGUGUUCGUGGUCAGUGUCGGCAACUUCAACAUUCUUCUUCACAAAUCUCCUCAAGAUUCAUUAUCAAAAUUUGAUUGCUGAGGUGUUUGAAGAACAGUGAAAGUACUUCAGCUUAAUUCCUAUAUUCUUUGGGUCUUGCCUAUGAUACACAUCUGUUCUUGACAUUUGAAGUCUUCUCCCUGUAGGCUUUGUUGGCUAAUUGCUGGAUGAUUCUUUUCAAGUAGGAUUAAUGGCUUGGUAAAGUUGAGCUUUUUCAAGGCAGUCCAAUGUCCACUUGUAUUUGUUGCAGCCAGCUGGUUAAUGGUGUGGUGAACUGUUGUAUGAAGACCAUCCACUGUUGUGAUGAGCAUCUGCAUGCAGUCUGUGGUGCUGGUGAGGGAAGUGCUGUAUGCUGUCAGUAGAGUGUGGUGCCAGCUUCAAAUUUGAAGGACUCAAUGCCUUAACAACUGAGUGUCUGAAUCAUUCUUUUUAUAAUUGUUUUAAAGUCAGUUCGAGUUGUAUUGGUGUCUAUUUGGUGUGCAGUACAUGUUUGGGUGGUUUGUUGCAGCCAGAUGUUGAAAGGGAGUCCAAGUCAAGUUGCGCUGCAGGUUCUGAAAGUAAUCUUCAUUGCUGGUAUCAUCCUGGAGUGUGACAGCAAUGUAGCCAUCUUGAAAUGGACUUGACAAUUUGAUGCAUUUGCCUUGGUGGUGAUUAUGUAUUCAACCUGCUGCAUGCAGUUAACGCAGCUGGUGUUCUCCAAAAAUGUUAAAGAAAUACUUGAAACAACGCUGCAAGAUUUAACUGAAGAAAUGUGUUGUGAAAAUGUUCAUUGGUUUUGUGAUCUGAUUCCUGUUCAAGAUAUUAUCCUGAAUUGAGCUGAAGUCCUUGCAGUAACUGAUUCUGGUGUCAUCCUGAAGUCGCUGUGCCGGUACGUUGCUGAGUUGAUAAAAAAAAGUUCAUCGUGUAUGAUUGAAUUUUUCAACAUGAUAUAAUGCGACAAAACCCUGGAUCCGUCAUCCUGGAUGACGAAAUUACCUCAACCCUAAUUAUUUCGUUCACUUAUUAUUUGUGUAUCAAAGAAACAUCUGCAAUAUUAUGUUCUAUUUGUAAAU